rnacentral:rRNA from 1 species
UACGUAGGGGGCAAGCGUUGUCCGGAAUCAUUGGGCGUAAAGGGCGCGUAGGCGGGCGGUCAAGUCCGGGGUGAAAGCCUCCAGCUUAACUGGAGAAGUGCCUCGGAUACUGAUUGUCUUGAGGAGGGUAGGGGCAUCUGGAACUAGCGGUGGAGCGGUGAAAUGCGUUGAUAUCGCUAGGAACUCCGGUGGCGAAGGCGAGGUGCUGGACCCUUUCUGACGCUGAGGAGCGAAAGCCAGGGGAGCAAACGGG